rnacentral:misc_RNA from 1 species
UUAAGUUCAGCGGGUAUCCCUACCUGAUCCGAGGUCAACCUAAAAGAGUCCGUGAGGACUUUGGUUAAAGGCCAAGUGCCGGCCGGUCCUAGAAGCGCUGGAAGUCCCAUUCGCUCAGGCGCCGAAGUCGCGGCCUAGCCACUGCUUUUCGGACGCGUCCCGCCCCUAGGGGUGGGACGUUCGCCCAUCACACAAGCCGA